rnacentral:tRNA from 1 species
GGUCAUAGCUCAGUGGUAGAGCACUCGCUUAGCACGUUCGAGACCCUGGGUGUGAUCCUUAGCACCACAUAAAAAUAAAUAAAUAAAAUACAGGUAUUGACAACUACAACUAAAAAAUAAAUAAAUAUAUUGUGUUCAUGUACAACUUUAAAAAUAAAUUAAAAAAAGAGGGCUGGGGAUGUGGCUCAAGCAGUAGCGCACUCGCCUGGCAUGCGUGCGGCCUGGGUUCGAUCCUCAGCACCA